UGAUGGAGCUGGGGGAUCCUGGGGGAGCACAGAUCUCAGUUAAAAUACUCAAAGCUCAUUUCCAGUUAGUGCCCACCCAGCUGCUCUGCACACGAGGGUGUCCUUCCUCAGGCAGAAGUGUUUGGGGGCAAGUGGAGAUGAACUUUUGUUGAUUUUUUUGUUCCUGUUUGGAAGCUUAACACUGUGACAGCAGCUCCAGAUCAGCAUCUUGGCACUCAGUUCUGCUUGGACAUCUGUUGCCAAAAAAGCAAAUAUUUAGAGGAGGGAGAAGAUGUAGCCAAGGAUGGUGGAUUUCAGCACAUACUGAGAUAAGAAAAGGGCACGAGUGGUCACUGACACGUGUUGUAGUAGGCAAAACAUGCAGAGAAUGUUUUACCUUAUGAGAACAGAGCCUUCUGAUGUGCAUUGAAGUUGGACAUCCAGAAGCUGAAGAAUCAGCUGUAUUAAACUGUAUUUCUUAGGUCAGUAUUUAUAGAGCCUGACAUUUUAAGUGCAGUCUUUGUUUUAAGACAGCCAUGAAGUAAAGAGAAGCUUUCGUCUUCUCACAGAAGCUUCAUGAAGCUUGUAGUUGCCAGUUUGGUUGGGAUAGUGUUACUUUAAUAAAGUUUAUUUUUUUUAAAUGUAGUUGCUGAGGCCAUUCAAAACCAGCAGAUUCUGGAAUGUUUUCCUGCUGAGUCACUGCUUAUUCUGGGAAACUCUGAAGGGAGAGAUACUGGAUGUGGGAGACUAAUGCUUUUAAAUCUACUCAUAAUUAAUAAUGGUUGGAACUUUCCCAUGACACUGCAGCUUCUUUAGAAUUAGCCUGAUGUGUUGGAAUGCAGAUAUCAAUUCUGUUGCCUAACAGCUGUACCCCAAUGCCUUCACAGGUGGGGAUGGUUACUGCGAAUAAGAUGUUUGACCAGCAUUCAGUAGGAACUGUAUUGGCAAGUGCAAUGACUCUAAUUGCAGUAUUCCAGAGCCACCUCCAAACCCUCCUCCCGAGCCUCCUGCAGAGCUGGGCAGAGAGCUGCACACCCACCUGCUGCUGGACAUUGACAAUGACACGGAGAGCACGGCGCUGUGACCGCGCUGCGGCGCCGCCUUCCAGCUCCUGGCAACCCCAGACCGACCAGGGAAAGGCUUCUUCUGGCAGCGGGCACAGCUGGGCACAGCUGGCAGGGGGCCUCUGGCACUCAGCUCCAGGCUGGCACAGCUCAGAGCAGACCUGUCAGCAAAUGGAGCCCAGCCUUUGGCCGGGUUUCGCCCUCAGAAGAAGUUUAAUGAUCUGGGUCUGGACAACGGUUUUCAAACUCUUGGAUGGAAGGAAUGAAUUCCUGCAGGAGCUCGCCUAGGAAGCGUGGUCAGUGCUGAUACAGGUGGUAUGAGCAGAAAUUCCAAAAGAAUAAGAAGCAGAACGUUAGUUAUUUAAAGUGCAUGUCUGUAUUAGGGAAAUAAUCCUUCUCACGGCACCGUUAGAGGUUCUUUGUAGUUCUUAGCCCGUCCCAGGAGCUGCCUCCAAGGGACAUUGCCUCUCUCCCAAGGGACAUCCCCUCUCUCCCAAGGGACAUUCCCUCCCGGAUUUGCUGCAGAUUCCCCUCAAGCCAUGAACCAAACCCUGCCCCAGUGCUGGUGGUGACUGCUGGUUCUCAGUCACCUGUGGAACUGUGGAUGCAUCCAGUGCCUUGAAGGACUGUCGUGCUGUAGGAGGAACUUCUGUCUCUUUAAUCAUUUCAUUGCUACGUAGGAGCAGUACUUACCCUGAUUUCAUAGUUAUUUGUAUUAACCUGCUUUGUUCAUGUGCAACUGGCAACUGUUUCACGAGGAAACCGUGGAAAUGGGGUUUGUGCUUUUGUUGAAAACGGUUGAAUUUUGAAAGAACUUUGAAACAGCUGUUUGGAUUCAGAAGUUGAGUGAACAUUUAUAAAAUUAAAGAUUGUUUUUUGUCAACUUAAGGCAUCUUUAUUCUAGUUUUGUUGCUUCCACUGGGUCCUGAAGGUCACGGUGAUCCCCUGCGCUGUGUAGCUUGGAGUCACUGGCUGCUCAGCUUGGUUUUGCCUUAAGGACCUCAGUGGGAGCACUGUGAGACCCUCCUUUGUUACCACACCAGCCCUGUAACAAAUCUUUAACUCUAAAUUCAGCUUGGAGAGCCACAGACUCCAGUGCUGUGACUGAUUUUGAUGUUUAUCCCCCAGAGUGUCAGUGCCUCUCUCCCCCAGGGUUUCCAGCAGCAGUUCACAGGCUCAGGCAGGAUCCCCCAGAGCCAAUUCCCUUUGUGUGGUUUAACAGGAGGAUUUCCUGGCUCUGUGGGCUGCUGCAGGUUCCCAGGUGCUCCUGCCUGCUCUCACUGUCACUGCCUGCACAGGGGGUGAGGUUUGCUGUGACCCUGCAGGAUUUAUUGAGUGCUGGAGAGGGGAGCAGGAGCCAGGGCAGCUGAGGGGCUCCAGGAGGAGCCUCCUCCAACCUGGCCAUGGGGCCCAGAGCUCUUGGCAGCCCCCCAAUCCCACAGACUCCAGGCAGGCAGGGACCAAAAAUCUCACUCUUUAAUGUUUCUCUGCAGCUGCACAAGGCCCAGGGCCAGGGAUGGUGCCCAGGGCCAGGGAUGGUGCCCAGCCCAGGGAUCUCCACUGAGGCACUCCCUGAAAGGCUCUGGGUGCCCAGGCCAUGAGGGGCUGGCCCUGGGCACCCCUGCCCUGGCACACCUGGUGGGUUUGGCUGGUGUAGGUCCUUCAGGUGCCCCCAGCAGCAGUUGUGGGGCGGUUUCCAUGCUGGUGCUGGUGCUGCCAUUGGAGUGUCAGUGGUGGUACCUCAGCCAGAGCUCCCAGACAGGUCCAUGAGCACUCACUGCACACAGGGAAGGAGCUGAACGGGCACAGCUGAGCCAGAGGCACAGCAGAGCACAGAGAACAGCCCUGGGCUCUGCUCUGGGCACUCGAGGUGUCACUGCUGUCCCCCAAGGCCAGAGGAGCUGAACCAGAGGAGGACCCAAGGGGUCGUAGCUGGUUAUCAAGGCAUAAAUAGGAAGAGAUUCCAGGCUUCCUGAAUUCCAGGCAGUGCUCUAAGGCCAAAGAGCAAAAUUAAAUAUUUAAAAUAACCAAACCAACCUUCCUCAGCUGGUUGGUGCCAGGUGGGGUCUGGCAGUGCCAGUGCCAAGCGCUCUGCCCAGGCACAGCCAGGCCCCCAUUAGAAAUAAGGAAAAUAUUAUGUCUUUAAAAUAUCUUAAAUAAAGAAAUAAAAUUUAGAAAGCA
ensembl:lncRNA